UGGCGGUGUAAGGAGCGAGGAGCACUGUUUCAGGAUGGAGUCACAGGCAGGGGAAGGAACAGCAGAAGCGUCGAGGUGGCGCAGGAACCUGAAAGGCCCCCCUCCAACCGCAGCCCCUCCCUCCAGCAUGAGCUGAUCAGUGUUUAUUCGCCCAGCUCUAAGCUCCCAGCCCCCGUCCGGCCCAGGGUGGCAGCCGAUGCCUGCGCCCCCACCCAGCCUGGGUCGCAGCUAGGGACCUGCGGGGGGCUGCGGAGCCGGCGCCCGCCCCAGCCCGCCCCUGGGCGGGUGUCUUCCGCAGACAAUAGCCCUGGCUGCAGCGCCUCGCGGACCAGGAGGGAGAAAAACAAGUCGGAGGAGGCGGCAGCGCCGAGCCUGGAGACCCUCGCCUUCCCCAUUGUGCCUCCCCAAGACCCCCACAGCAAACAGUCCCCCCAAUCUCUCCCCCAGAAGCACCGAUCUCAGGCCGCCUCCCCCCCCAAUCCCUAGAGCAGGAUGCACCCCAAGUCGCUAGCACCAUGAAGAGGGGCCAGCGGUGGCCGCCGAUCCCGGGGCGCAGGCCCACGAUCGCCGACCCUCGCGGCCGAGACUCACCCUGCGGGCUGGGGGGCUCCGGCGGAGACUUGCCGGGAGCCCGGGAGGCGCCGCCGAGCAGCAGCCCCAGCAGCGGCAGCAGCCGCGCGAAGACACCGGGGCCACUCGGCGGCGGCAUCGCGGGGCUCGGCCGGGCCCUAGCGGUCCAUCGCUGCCGCCCGGCCCCGCUCGGCCGGCCCCGCUCAGCCCCAGCUCUGCACCGCUCCGCGCGGCUCGGGCUUGGGCUCCCGCUCCGGCUGCGGCGCCCGCUCGGCGCGAUUGUCUCCGCCCGGAGCGGCCGCCAGCGCCCCCUGCCGACGGCUCCCGGCACGGCGGGCCUGCGGGCACCGCCCCCUCGCGGCCCGGCUCAGCCUGCAGCCCACCCGGCGGCCCCCACCCUCCAACUCAAGGCUCCAAACAGCAAUGGGGUGCAGCGAUUAGGGGUAAUAACCGGGUUGGGGUUCGAGAGCUCUUGAGAUGUGGUAUAAAAUAGUGCGUGUGUGUGUGUGUGUGUGUGUAUGUGUGGAGGGGUAUUGCUUACUCCUAAGGGUUGUACUUAAAGAGAGACAGAGAGACUCUUUUCCCACAGGGAAAGGUCGGAAGUGCUAAGGAGGCUGCAGCCUCCAACGUUGGAAAGCUGAUCUGUGGUGGCUUCUAGCCUCUCUCUUCCUCACGCCUCCCAUUCAAAACCAGGCUAGGCAAGACAAGUUUCUCACAGCCUUCCAGUCCAUCUUGUCUCAAACAGGAUGGUCUGAAACUCAGACUGGCCUCGAACUCGUGGCUAUCUUCCCGCUUCUGCCGCCUCUUCAGCACAACCUGCUACCCAAGAGAGGACCCAAGAGAGCUUCCCGAGGGAGACGAGAGACGACACAGCAGUUCUCUCUACAGAAGAGGCAGACUCACCAGAAUUUACUAUUUAACCCCUCUGGGGUACAAUGGAGUCUCAGCCCUUGGGAGAGGUCGCAUCAAACUCAGUGUCGGCUCACCUGCCUCCCCUCCCGCUCCAACAGACCAGUACCCUAGGGACGCCCUCCCCUCCACAGCCACAGUGUCCCUUCCUUGCCAGAACUUGUUCCCUUGUCGCUGGCAGAACUUUCUUUUCUGAACGCUUUGCCUCAUGCAGCCGUGAGGCUCCUUCGUUCCUCAGAUCCCCGACUACCUGACUCCCCUUUGGGAGCUUUGGACUCCACCAGCUCCUCCUCUCCUCCGUCCUCUUCUCUCCUCCCAUUUCCCCCUCUUCUCUCUUCUCCCUUCUCCUCACCCCAUUCCCCUCCUCUUUCUCUGUUUUUCUCCCCACCCUCAAUACAGUAGAUUGUACUUAGGAUCUUGAAACAUACUAGGCUCUUCCAUUGAACUAUGUCUCAGCUUUCUUUUUGUUUGUUUUGUUUUGUUUUUGAGUCAGUGUUUUUCUGUGUACUCUUCUUGGCCAUCCUGGAUUCGAUUUGUAGACCAGGCUGGCCUCAAACUCACUGAGAUUUGCCUGCCUCUAUCUACCUCCCUCAGUGCUGGGAGUGCAUCACUGCACCCCGCUUUCUUUCUUUUUCUUUCUUUUUUUUCAAU